GCCUCGGUGGUGAAAUUGGUAGACACACGGGACUUAAAAUCCCGCGACCUCAACAGUCGUGCCGGUUCGACCCCGGCCCGAGGCACCA
rnacentral:tRNA from 1 species